rnacentral:tRNA from 1 species
AGGGACUUAGUUUAAAUAAAAAUAAUAGAUUUCGGUUCUGUUGUUAACUUAUAGAAAUUAUGAAGUUAGUCUUUU